AAUAAGCGAAAGCUUGACGGGGCUAUCCCGAGUGCCGUCUGCUGAAGAUGGCUUUUACCUAGUGUAGAUAGCUGGGAGAAUAAGGGGAGGGCAAGUCUGGUGUCAGCCGCCGCGGUAAUACAA
rnacentral:rRNA from 1 species